rnacentral:rRNA from 1 species
GUGAGGAAUAUUGCGCAAUGGGGGCAACCCUGACGCAGCAACGCCGCGUGGGUGAUGAAGGCCUUCGGGUCGUAAAACCCUUUUCUGGGGGACGAGCAAGGACGGUACCCCAGGAAUAAGUCCCGGCUAACUACGUGCCAGCAGCCGCGGUAAAACGUAGGGGGCGAGCGUUAUCCGGAUUUACUGGGCGUAAAGCGCGUGCAGGCGGCUUGGUAGGUUGGACGUGAAAGCUCCUGGCUCAACUGGGAGAGGCCGUUCAAUACCACCAGGCUCGAGGGCGGAAGAGGGAAGCGGAAUUCCCGGUGUAGUGGUGGAAUGCGUAGAUAUCGGGAGGAACACCUGUGGCGAAGGCGGCUUCCUGGUCCGCAUCUGACGCUAAGACGCGAAAGCGUGGGGAGCGAACGGGAUUAGAUACCCGUGUAGUCC